GGGACACGUGGUAUCCUGUCUGAAUAUGGGGGGACCAUCCUCCAAGGCUAAAUACUCCUGACUGACCGAUAGUGAACCAGUACCGUGAGGGAAAGGCGAAAAGAACCCCGGCGAGGGGAGUGAAAAAGAACCUGAAACCGUGUACGUACAAGCAGUGGGAGCCUCUUAAUGGGGUGACUGCGUACCUUUUGUAUAAUGGGUCAGCGACUUAUAUUCUGUAGCAAGGUUAACCGAAUAGGGGAGCCGAAGGGAAACCGAGUCUUAACUGGGCGUUAAGUUGCAGGGUAUAGACCCGAAACCCGGUGAUCUAGCCAUGGGCAGGUUGAAGGUUGGGUAACACUAACUGGAGGACCGAACCGACUAAUGUUGAAAAAUUAGCGGAUGACUUGUGGCUGGGGGUGAAAGGCCAAUCAAACCGGGAGAUAGCUGGUUCUCCCCGAAAGCUAUUUAGGUAGCGCCUCGUGAAUUCAUCUCCGGGGGUAGAGCACUGUUUCGGCAAGGGGGUCAUCCCGACUUACCAACCCGAUGCAAACUGCGAAUACCGGAGAAUGUUAUCACGGGAGACACACGGCGGGUGCUAACGUCCGUCGUGAAGAGGGAAACAACCCAGACCGCCAGCUAAGGUCCCAAAGUCAUGGUUAAGUGGGAAACGAUGUGGGAAGGCCCAGACAGCCAGGAUGUUGGCUUAGAAGCAGCCAUCAUUUAAAGAAAGCGUAAUAGCUCACUGGUCGAGUCGGCCUGCGCGGAAGAUGUAACGGGGCUAAACCAUGCACCGAAGCUGCGGCAGCGACGCUUAUGCGUUGUUGGGUAGGGGAGCGUUCUGUAAGCCUGUGAAGGUGGCCUGUGAGGGUUGCUGGAGGUAUCAGAAGUGCGAAUGCUGACAUAAGUAACGAUAAAGCGGGUGAAAAGCCCGCUCGCCGGAAGACCAAGGGUUCCUGUCCAACGUUAAUCGGGGCAGGGUGAGUCGACCCCUAAGGCGAGGCCGAAAGGCGUAGUCGAUGGGAAACAGGUUAAUAUUCCUGUACUUGGUGUUACUGCGAAGGGGGGACGGAGAAGGCUAUGUUGGCCGGGCGACGGUUGUCCCGGUUUAAGCGUGUAGGCUGGUUUUCCAGGCAAAUCCGGAAAACCAAGGCUGAGGCGUGAUGA
rnacentral:rRNA from 1 species